rnacentral:rRNA from 1 species
AAUAGACUACCCUGGUAGUCCACGCCCUAAACGAUGCGAACUGGAUGUUGGGUUCAACUUGGAACCCAGUAUCGAAGCUAACGCGUUAAGUUCGCCGCCUGGGGAGUACGGUCGCAAGACUGAAACUCAAAGGAAUUGACGGGGGCCCGCACAAGCGGUGGAGUAUGUGGUUUAAUUCGAUGCAACGCGAAGAACCUUACCUGGUCUUGACAUCCACGGAACUUUCCAGAGAUGGAUUGGUGCCUUCGGGAACCGUGAGACAGGUGCUGCAUGGCUGUCGUCAGCUCGUGUCGUGAGAUGUUGGGUUAAGUCCCGCAACGAGCGCAACCCUUGUCCUUAGUUGCCAGCACGUAAUGGUGGGAACUCUAAGGAGACCGCCGGUGACAACCGGAGAAGGUGGGAUGACGUCAAGUCAUCGAUGGCCCUUACGACCAGGGCUACACACGUACUACGAAUGGUGGGGACAGAGGGCUGCAAUCCCGGCGAGGGUGAGCCAAUCCCAGAAACCCCAUCUCAGUCCGGAUCGGAGUCGUGCAACCUGACCUCCG